rnacentral:lncRNA from 1 species
UCAAAAUGGAAUUGACCCCUCCGAAUAAGUAAGAGUUAAUGCAUCACUAUAUUUCAAUUCAGUAAAAUCUCGAUUAGGAUAAUUCAUGUGAUAGAUUUAAAAAAUUAAAAUAUAAUGUGGAUGAUCCUUUCGGGUUGAUAAUUAAAUCCUAGGUCAUCUUAAGUAUUUGGGUCAAAGAGAUGAAUUAUAUGGUAAUCAUAUGCCAAUAGAUUCUUGAAUAUUGCUUUGUAAUCUUUCGAUCUAUCCGGACAUCGGAUACCAUUACUAAAUGAUCACUUUGAUUGGUAUAGAAAGAUUAUUUCUGUACUAUUGACUUGGAUUCAAACCUAUGGGGCCACAUUCAAAUAAAAUUUCUGACUAAUCAUGUGACUGAUCGAUGAUUAAGAAUCGUUCUAGGGUAUAAUAGUCAAUUUGAUUAAUGAUUAUCCUAUACAAGAGUUGUAAUAAAUUAAUUCACUAAUUAUUGGUGAACUGUAGG